rnacentral:lncRNA from 1 species
CAACUAAGAGAAUAAACAAAAUAAAAAAUAAACAACAACCAAAGCCAAACUCAAAAUAAAGAGCAUAAAAGCUCAAGAAUAAGAGAAAAAAGCUGUCGAAGAAGAUAGACGACAGAGCGAACUCAACGCCGACCACAGCAAAACCCAUGAGUUGCAGAGACACCACCGGGACCCGACCCCCAAGGUCCCAGCCCCAAGCGCACCCGAAAGCUGUCAAAAGACCAAGGGGACGCCCCAAAACUCACCAAAAGACCAAGACACGCCUUAGCCAAACUGAUCCCUGGAAAAUCCAUAGUGAAGAGCUCCGUCACAAAGGAACGAAGCCAAUGCCGACCCAGCUUAGCCUGACCAACGACCUGAAACCACCACAACCCACCGAUGUUCUAGCCAACAAA